UUGACAUAAGGGUCUAUUGAUUGCUGGGGUCGGGGAGCUGCUCCCCUCUAAUGGUUUGUUCCGGCUCUUAUGUGGGCCUAAGUGUAUUUUUGUUAUAAGUUAUCCACCUGUGCCUGUCAGUUCCUUCCCAUUUGCCUCCUCCCGUGACAGUUUGGCUCAUGUUUCUUCAUAAAGCUCUAAGCCAGUUAUUAAUAACAGCCCAGUGAGCCUUCUGAUCCACCUAAGAGCAUAUGGUGUUUUUCACAAAAGAGAGAUCAUCUCCUUGACUUUGGACUUCACCUAUUGAGACCCUGUACAGUGUUUAAGGAGAACCUGAGAAGAAUGAUUCAUUCAAGGGAUACCAUCUAGGAGGAACCAAGGUUGCUAAGAGACCACCUGUGCUGAAUACACUUUGUUCUAGCAAAAGCUUACAGAGAGAAAACCAAGGAGCCGUGUUAUCUACCACUACCCGGGAUUAAAUCAGGAAUGGGGCUGGUUACUACAGAAAUUAACCAAGGUGCUAGGAUGGAAGAAGGUAACACUGCACAAACCUCAUUUAUCCACCGCCCCCGCCUCAUUCUCUCUUGCAACUCAACCUGCCUUUUGUUUUUUUAGUAAAAAUAGCAAAAAAUAUUUUCCUACCCCAAUAUUGCCACUUUAAAAAUUUUUUUUAAAGUUUAUUUAUUUAUUUUGAGAGAGACAGAGACAGCAUGAGUUAGGGAGGAGAGAAGCGAGAGGGAGAGAGAAGUCCCAAGCAGGCUCCACGCCGUCAGCAUAGAGCCAGAUGCAGGGCUUGAACUCACGAACAGUGAGAACAUGACCUGAGCAGGAACCAAGAGUGGGAUGCUUAACCAACUGAA